UACAUGGGGUGCAAACGUUGCUCGGAAUUAUUGGGCGUAAAGCGCACGUAGGUGGUCUGUUAUGUCAGAUGUGAAAGCCCUCGGCUUAACUGAGGAAGUGCACCUGAAACUGGCAGGCUUGAGUACGAAAGAGGGUCGCGGAAUUCCCGGUGUAGAGGUGAAAUUCGUAGAUAUCAGGAGGAACACCGGUGGCGAAGGCGGGUCUCUGGGCCGAUACUGACGCUGAGGAGCGAAAGCGUGGGGAGCGAACAGG
rnacentral:rRNA from 1 species